UAAGUUUUAGGUCAUUUUAUGGUUGCAACCCGCCACAAAACGAAGAAGAAAAAGUUUUAGUUCAUUUCCGCCCAGUAUUUCCGCUCUGUUUGCACACAUGGCGGAUGUCAACAAAGACAGAUGUAAGUGGACGAACAAGGAGACGAGAUACUUUUUGAAUUUAAUUUACCAGAAAAAUAUAACGGCUAUUUUAGAUAGCAAAAAUCUAAGAAAUGCCAUAAUUUAUCAGGAACUCGCGAAGGAAAUGGCCAACAAAGGUUAUGACAAGCCGUGGGACAGUCUGAAACGCUUAAU